rnacentral:lncRNA from 1 species
CCACAAUGCACUGCGCUGUUAUUGUGAUGGCCGCCUGUCCAACAUGGCGGCUCCUGACUGCGUCUUCCACAGAAUCCUCACCCGGUCCAGACCCGGUCCCAACAAGUCAUCCUCUCCGUCCGUCUGCAGAGACGUCCUCUAUGUGGUCGAUCUGCAGCGCUACAGCAGAGACCAGGGGGCCGACGUCUACUUCCCCCAGGGGGUCCUCAUGGGUGACGACCUGUAUGACGUCACGCUGACAGACGGGGACUGCAGGCUCCGUGUGACUCUGGAUCCAGGUCUAAACCGGCUGGUGGAGAGAAACGUCCUGCGGCCCAGAUCGGCGCUCCGUAACGCCACCUUCACACCUGCCAUGACCGCUCAGCUCCCAGCAUGCCGCGGGGCGUCUGCGGCCAGAGACAGCUACAGGCUGGUGAGCGUGGAGGUCCCCGGUGGAGACCAGGAUGAAGGACUCAGGAAGUUCCAUGUGGACUCUCUGUCCUGGUUUGGAUCGUCAGAACCAGCAGGGCCUUUGGUUCCUCUGAGAGCCAAUAGGAGCGUGUUCCUCCCUCUGUGGAAUAAUGUGGACUACAGCGGGGAGGGGUGGAGGGAAGCUCCGCCCCCUGAGGAAGAGGAAAGCGAGGAGGAGGAGGAAGGUAGAACUGCUGUUGAUAUUUAAAUAUUUAAUUAGAUUUUAAAUGUAUUGAAA